CUCUCCUCCGCUCUUCUCUACCUCCUUCGCUCCCUCCCUCGCUCCCUCGCUCCCACCUAUCUCCUCAUCUCCCUCCGCUGCCUCUCCCGCCCCCAUCCACCCCUCCAUCUCCGCCCACAGAUGGGUGGGAACGGACAGUCCUCCAAUCGGAAGAAGGGGUCCGCACCUCCUCACCGCCCCCUACCGCUACCCCCGCCCACCGCGGGAACGAGGGAGGAGGUAAUUCAAAAAAAAGGAAGAGGAUGGAGUGACAGCCAAAUCAACCAAUCACCCCUGGCGCGACGCUUCUCCUGGCGGAGCAUUCCGGGAGAUGUAGUUCCGAGUUCGGUUGCUAUGGCGUUCUCCACAGCCUCCGGUCGAAGAGUGACGAGAAGCCUGACCAAUGGGAGCAGCGCCUGGGCCAGCGGGGGCGGGGCCCUCUCCAAAAGGACUCCAAGGUGGCGGUGGCGAAGGCGCAGGCCGUUGGGGCGGCUCGGAGGCAGGUGAGCCCCGGGACCCCGGUUCUGUGUCUUGGGAAGCGGGGCUUUGUGCUUUGGACGCCUCGAGGAACCGUGCAACCCUGGGGUGAAUGGUGGUUGGUGCUGCGCCCCAACCCCAGACCUCCUCGGGCCCAGGCCUAGCUUAGCGGGGGCCGCUGAGGGGCGGGAAAGACUUGACAAUUUCCUGGUCCUUACAGGUUUUGAUUGUAGGUUUUAUCUCAGUUUGCAUCUCCCUCCCUUUAUAGAAGCAAAAGUCAAAGGUCCCUUUCAGUGAAUCUCCCAGGUUGGAUUUUUGCCCCCAGCUUUCUUUUUGUUCCUAUAAUUUGCGUUUCUUUUUCUUUCUCCCGUACUCCUCUGCCACCGCUCUUUCCUCCUUCACUUUCCUUUUUCGGUGAACAAUUACCUAAAGCAAGUGUAUUCUCAUUUACGUGAUUAUACGGCCGGCUUUGCCGUCUUAAGAGAAGCAGCGAAAAACCCUGGAGCUGUGCGUGAGAAUCACCUCAGAAACAUGUUGAAGUGCAGAUGCUGAAUUUGUAGGUCUGGGCGGGGCCUGAGACUCUGCAUUUCUCACAAACUCCCGAGUACUGCUAGUCCAUGUUCUGAGUAACGGGGAGUUCUACAUCAGCUCUGUUCGAUACAGACAUAACGCGAGGCACUUAAUUUUAAAUUUUCUGGUAACCACAUUAAAAAACAUGAAACACGUGAAAUUAAUUUUAACAACGUUUCGUUUAACCCAGUAUAUCCAAAAUUUAUCAUUUCAACCCAUAAUCAAAUACUUUAAAAUUGAAAUAUUAUAAAUUCUUGUAUUUGUUAUACUCUACGCCCAACGUGGAGCUUGAACUCACAACCCCGAGAUCAAGAGUCGCUUGAUCUACGGACUGAGCCAGCCAGGCGUCCCAGUUCUUUUUUUUUUUUUUUUUUUAAGUGUCUUUGAAAUCUAAUGUGUGUUUUACCUUGACGACACGUCUCAGUUCUGAUUAGACACAGUUCAAAUGUUCCUUAGCCACCUGUGGACUAGUGGCCACUGUUACUGGACUGCGCAGGUCCAGGAGGUAUAGGUGUCCCCUGCAGAAAUUAAAAGGUGUUAAAGCUCAAACGGUUGCAUGUAACCAAACCCUUUGUUGCUCUGCGAGAUGGGCCUGGGAACUACUUUAGAGAGGCGCUCUGCCCAAUUUGCAGAAAUAAUAGUAAAAAUAGCCAACACUUACCGAACGGUUAUUUUGUGACAGGUGUUGUACUGAGUGCUUUGCUGGUAUUGCUUCUUUACAACAACCCUUGUAGGUAACUACUGCUAUAUUUUGUAGAUGUGGAAUCUAAGAUCUAGAAGGUUGAGAUUGAGUAGCCUAAAGCCAUACAGCCAGCAAUUCAACCAGGAUUCAAACUUGGGUCAGUUUUGACUUCUAAAUCCUGUCAACCACUGCAGUGUAUGAUUAUUAUUUUUUAAUCAAUAAUUUUACUUCAUUGAUGCCUCUGCUCCAGUUUAUGGCUGAUGAAAUGCUCAAGUUGAAACAGAGAGGGUUUCUUCAUGCAAGGUCAAUUUGCCUAUCAGUUGGAGUGACAUACUUUGGUAGUAUUAUAAAUAUUCCAUGCUAUAUAUAUAUUUUUUUUUUUCAGUAAGCUCUCGCCCUACAUGGGGCGUGAAUUCAGGACCCUGAGAUCAAGAGUUGCAUGUUCUAGGGGUACCUAGGGGUCUUGGUUGAGUGUCCAACUCUUGAUUUGGCUUGGGUUGUGGUCUCAGAGUGGUGGAAUGGAGCCCGGGGUUGGGCUCUGCACUCGGCACAGAGUCUGCUUGUCCCUCUCCCCCUGCUCAUGCUCUCUCUCUAUUUAGCUCUAAAAUAAAUAAAUAGUCUUUUUUUGAAAAAUUUGCA
rnacentral:lncRNA from 1 species